rnacentral:lncRNA from 1 species
GGUGCCGGAGCUUGCAACAUACUUUGCUGGAUGCGAAGAAGCUGAGUUGUUCGCCUGCGGCGAGCUGGUUGGUGAGGAUGCAACGCAAAUGAGCUCAGCCUCCAAGAUCUCAGUUCGGCUGCUGUUUAGGAACGGAGAGGAAUAUAGUAUUGGCAACUCAUGCGUGGUAUAGUUUGCCAUUGCGUCAUGCUGCCCUCCUUUUGGCCACCAAUGGUGGCGAGUCGAUGUGCUAGGAAGGCAAUUACGUGAUGCAUGGUUUGUGAGCUAUCAUCUUGUCACGUGGCUGAAAAAAGGUUGAACAUAGCGUGAGACCUUUUUUUGUCUGGAUUGUCAUCGUGAUUAGUAUCCAUAUGAACGUCAUUCUUCACUGCUUUCCAAACGUUGCAAGGGAAUAUGGGACCAUGAUAAUGCUACAUAGCUUCAACACUACAUGAAAGGGCAGAUCUAGAUAUACCUAUAUAGAUACCGCACUACAACAUUCACUGCUAAAGAUUGGAAAUGCAAUUUUUAUCUUUGCUUCAGAUGUCGAUCGAAGAGCUCUCGAGUUGCAAUUGCUGCCGUGAAACUAAGAAGAGCCAACAAGACGCCAACGGUAAGCAAGCGGCUUUCCAUCCCUUGUGCUUCUCUCUGCCAUCAACACACAUCAUGUUUUCAUCAGCCCUGACCGCUGUUAGUGCACGGUCCCCCUUAUAAGGUCAGCAAGCAUUGAAGAAAGUUUUUAGCUGUUCAUCUUGCAGACAAUCGCGGUGCACACCUGGUAAAAUUGAUAUGAAGGAACACCACCAGGAGGCCAGUUGCUUUCGGUCCACAUGGAAUCUGGCGGCCACGCUGAUGCUGCUUCCCAGUCUAAAGAGCUAUUUGACAGCUCCCACUGGAAUUGGGCUUCGCUUUGACAUUCCUGCAUCACACCACAUCGUGAAGUGGACACAUGCAUGUGAGCAUUUUGACACCAGCUGAAGGUGUGUGUUGAUAUCUCAGUGCCUGCUUGCAUUUUCAUCAUGAUUGCACCUGAGCAGCACACAAGCAUACCAUCAGCUGACGCAAGACUCGGGAAUGUUUUACCUUGCAUCCAAAGCGUAAGGAAUACGAUGGUACAUAUUUUGCAGUGCCUCGCAAGCAGCGCCCUCUUGCAGCAUUGCCACUUAUCAGCGCCCGGAAGCCCACGCACAAAGCCCCUUCCCCACACCUCCUUGAGCCAAAGUCACACCCUCCUUGCUUGCC